GAUACCCCCUGUAUCAUUCUUGCACAAAAUGUACAUAGGAACUUUAUAAGUAGAAAAUUAAAGUGAAAUGCUUUUUUUAUACAGGUUAGUUGGUGGCACAGAAUCAAGCCUCUCCAUGUAAACAGCUGACAUAUUCUUCCGUAAUUCCGCAAGACCUAAGUGCUGUCCAGAUUCUGUCCCUCUCCUAUAUGGAAAUUAAUGAAUUCCAGCAGACAACAACAAAAAAACAACAACAAAAAAAGACCAGAAAGAAAAAUUAUCCUGCAUAUCUUACAAACGUAUCCUUAGAAUAAAACAGCACAGAGGAUCAGCGAUGGACCAAAGUCUCCUGAAUGAAUUUAGCUGAUACCAAAGUGGACAUCAGUGCCCAUGUUUCCAUUAAGUACCAAUUAAAAAUAAGUAAAUAAAAAUCCAAUCUAUUGAUGGCACAUGAUUUCAGUAUCAGAUAUGUACUCAUUGCUACAGUAAGGCUGCUGCGCUCUAAAUGGCUUUGGUAUUUUAGAUAAUUAAGGGUUUCAAUACCUGCCAACAUAAGCUAUCUUUAUACUUACAUUUAUUCAGUUUAAAUAUAUAAUUGUAAGAGCAUGUCAAACAUUAAAUAGUGAACACUGAGCUGCAGCCUAAAGAGAACUGCAACCAAUGGUCUUUUGCAAUUCUCCAUGCUUAACAGACACUGUUCAGAUAUGUUGCAUUUCUUUUUUGUUAAGAAAUAGGAAUUUAAGAGACAAGAUUGAUAAAUGAGGUCAUCCAGAAGUAUUGCUAGGUACUCAGUAAAUAUUGUGUAUUUCAAAAGUAUGGUGAAAGGACAAUAAAGAUCUGAAAAGCAAAUGCAUCUGUAUUUGAAGUGCAAUAUUAAGCAAUCAACAUAGCCGCAUGCCAGCUUACUGCAAGGCUAAUCCAAAUAAGCAACAUUCAGCAAUGUGAUAGAAUACCAGCUCUAGAGAAAUAAAAUAGAAGAUUUCUUCUUUUGCACUUCCAGAAUAGGUCAAAUGCCUUCAAUACUUUGAAAUGACCACUGCUAGCUAAACGACCCUUGUCUAUUUGCUACUACACUACUACAGGCAAAAGUCCAUUGCUAAAAAAAAGUUGUCAAAUAAAGUAUUAGAACUUGGAAUAAAAACAUCUUCACCUAAACAGAUUAAAACCUGAUUUGUUGCUUCUGAGAUGAAGGUGGAAAGCAAUAUGUGUGUUUGGGUUUUAUUAUUAUUUUAAACAAAUAAAUUUAAAACCUUUCAAUAUAAACACAUACAAAUAAGCAAACAACAUUAAAAUCCAUAGAAUAAAAUGAUACCGUUAGAUUAUAUCAUUCAGACAGGUUUUUCUUCAAUUUUGUACCACAAUGAUAAGAGGUAUGGAAAGUCUUCUGUAUAAGAGAUUCAGGAUUCAGAUAAGAGAUUCAGAACUAGGAGUCAGACUUCAGAGAAAUUCUUAGAAAGAUGUCCGUACAUAUUUGUGGGAAGACACAAGAACAGAAACCAUAUGAAGGACAUACAGGGGGAAUUCACUAUUUCAUUACUAAACAACUAAGAGACAUUUAAUAAAAGAUGUGAAGUUUUAAAACCAAAGGAAGUUGUUACAGAACAGUUAAUAUCAUGUAUAACUAUUCUUAUACAUUUCUAAUCAGCUGCUACUUACAACUAAAGCCUUAGCACAGAUAUUAAAGAUUAUAUGGAUCUUCUUUAACAAAAAA